rnacentral:lncRNA from 1 species
UCAGUAAGACUCUUCAUCUCCUCUUUGUGGAAAACAGAAUUGCUGCCUGCUGACAGAACUCAGCGCUUCUGUCAUCGGGGUCCUCGAGAAGCUAGGUGUUGCCAAGACAUUCUGCUACAAAAACAUGGGGUACUGGAACCACGUAUAGUCCCAAUGAGCCCUGCAUCUGACCCUCCAAAGCCUUCCUGACUCCUUUCCCUUCAUCUGAGGUAUUCAAAUAAUGGAAUCAUGGCUGAUCUCUGACCUCAUUGAUGACCUGAGGGGAAUACUUCAGAAAACAUGUAGAGCAGCAUGUCAGACCACCUGGAUGAGUGUGGUCCCCUUGAUCCAUACAUAAACCCUGUCCAUAGACUUCCCUGUUACUGUGACUCCACUCUACUAGUGACAGUUGAAGCAGCACUAUGACAUCACACUGAAAGGGACAAUAGGUACUGAGAAAGCCAUUCCAAGGCUAGCAUAGUGCUUGAGGGAGAGUCAUCCACACCAACAUCCUCCAGGUCUUAGUACUUCAAGCACAAAGAUGCAAAAGGCAAUAACCCCAUUCAAUACCAACGCCACCAAUGCCUCUAUUUGCUGGAAAUUUUGAGCACUUGGGAAACUAUCUUGUCUCCUUAGGACGGAAGUCUCCAGAAUCUCUUCUGGAAGCCUUAUGCUUGCCACAGAUCUCAGGGAUGGCCUUCAGCUGAAUCAGGUUCUUCUGAUAGAGCCAGGUUCAGCUGGCUUUAAACUCCUUUCGAGUCUCUUUUACAUGAUGAAAGGACAUGGUACCCAUUUAGUUUUUAACCUCCAACACUGACGGACCCUGCUUCCUCUAUCAACAGAUCGUACCCUGUCUGCUAUUUUGAAGGACUCUCAUUGCAAGCUACUAAGUUUUCUUGAAUCUCCUUUUCUGGAAGGCCUUGAGAAGAGGCAUGAGAAGAGUAUGGUACCCUACAUAGGAGACUGAUAUCUUACUUCUUUUGGGAAUCUGGAAACAAUGCUAUCCUUAAACCACAUUAAAACGAACACUUAGACCUUGGGCAUCGGACUCCCAGGAAGGUGAUUGCAAGGACAGAAGCUCUCUUAUAAACUUGUUAUGAGUUACAGAGAAGAUUCUCUUCUCAAGCUUAUUCUCUUUAGACCUUGGGUUUGGUGCCACUUUCUGACUGACCCUGAGUCCUUCCACUGUGACCACCUUUUCUUUUGAUGCUUCUCCUAUUGUCUGUCUUCAGGAUUCACCCCCAGGCUCUAGAAAAUAAACAUUGCUGUUUGCAUCUUUGAGGUGGCA